UGAGUGGCUGGGAUUACAGGUGUGCGCCACCACCAGGGUGAUAUGUUAACAGGAUAUAGGAAAAAGGCUUCACUGUGCAAGACCUCUAAAUACCAAAACAGAGUCGAAACUGUGAAAUCUAUUUCAAUGCAUGAGAGCUCCUGUCGCUCCACAUCCUCAGCAGCACGUGGUGUUCGGUGUUCUGGAUUUUAGACAUUCUAAUAGGACUCAUUAGUUCUAACAGAUUUGUUUGUCAAUUCCUCAAGAUUUUCUACAUCUAAAAUCAUGUCAUCUGCAAAAAGAGCCCAGCUUCCCUGCUGAGGGAAGUGAGGAUAGCGUGCAAGAAGCCCCUGUCCCUGGAGAAAAGGAGAGCGGCUGGUCAAGGACACAGAUGAGGCCAUGCUUUCUGUAUCUUCCUACCAUUACACAGCUGGACCUGGGAUAGUCGGCUGGCCGCAAAGGCCUGGGUCAGCUCAUGAGGCACCCACUCAUGGAGCUUUUUCAUCCUUCCAAUUUGCUUCAAAUGCCAAACGACUGUAGAAUGG